rnacentral:rRNA from 1 species
GACGAACGCUGGCGGCGUGCCUAAUACAUGCAAGUAGGACGCAGUUGCGAACGGGUGAGUAACGCGUAGGUACCUGCCUAUUAGAGGGGGAUAACUAUUGGAAACGAUAGCUAAUACCGCAUACUAGUAGAUGGACCUGCGUUGUAUUAGCUAGUAGGUAGGGUAAUGGCGUACCUAGGCAACGAUACAUAGCCGACCGGGGAGGGUGGUCGGCCACACGGGGACUGGGACACGGGCCAGACUCCUACGGGAGGCAGCAGUAGGGAAUCGUCGGGAAUGGGGGGAAACCUGACCGGGCAACGCCGCGGGAGUGAAGAAGGUUUUCGGGUCGUAAAGCUCUGUUGUUAAGGAAGCGGUACUUAACCAGAAAGGGACGGCUAACUACGUGCCAGCAGCCGCGGUAAUAC